GACGAACGCUGGCGGCGUGCUUAACACAUGCAAGUCGAACGGUAAGGCCCUUCGGGGUACACGAGUGGCGAACGGGUGAGUAACACGUGGGUGAUCUGCCCUGCACUUCGGGAUAAGCCUGGGAAACUGGGUCUAAUACCGGAUAGGACCACUGCCUGCAUGGGCGGUGGUGGAAAGCUUUUGCGGUGUGGGAUGGGCCCGCGGCCUAUCAGCUUGUUGGUGGGGUGAUGGCCUACCCAGGCGACGACGGGUAGCCGGCCUGAGAGGGUGACCGGCCACCCUGGGACGGAGAUACGGCCCAGAGUCCGUCGGGGGGCAGCAGUGGGGAAUAUUGCACAAUGGGCGGAAGCCUGAUGCAGCGACGCCGCGUGAGGGAUGACGGCCUUCGGGUUGUAAACCUCUUUCAGCACCGACGAAGCGCAAGUGACGGUAGGUGCAGAAGAAGGACCGGCCAACUACGUGCCAGCCGCCGCUGUAA
rnacentral:rRNA from 1 species